AUUGGCGCUAUGGAAACAAGGGAGGUUGGGGGGGGUAGGGCCCUGGCGGUUCGGUUUCCGCCCUCGGCUACCGCUCCCCCACCCUCCUAAUGCCGGCCAGGGUUUCGAAGAGGGACAAAGGAAGACCUGGGGGUUCCAGAGUUAGGAGAGGGAAUGGCGGAGGAAGAGGCCGGGAAGGAGCUGUGCGGCUGUCCAGGGUGCUGAACUUGGGAACCAAGCUCAGAUAUUCACCCUAUCCCAAGGAGACUUGACCCCGCCUCGGCCCAACUCACGCGUGCCGUCAAAGCGAGUGGCGAUGGUGUCCAGAAAGGUGUUUUGCGGGGCCAGCAACCCCUUCAUGACCGGCAUGGCCCCGGGAUUGCUCCAGCCACGUGACACCGUGACACCGAGUGGAUGGCUUAAACAAUUCUGGGAUCUGGAAAUCUGAGUACAAGGUGAACUCAGGGCUGGAUCCCUCUGAAGGCUGUGAAGAAGAAUCUCUUCCUUGCUCUCUUCCAACUUCUAGGUGGACUGCUGGUGACCGCUGGCAUUUCUUAGCUGGUGGGUGCAUUGCCCUGAUUUUUAUUCCCAUGUUCAUGUGAGCUCUUCCUGUUUCUGUGUACCCUAAUCCCCCCUUUUUUGUAAGACCACUACUUAUACUGGAUUACAGGUCUCCUAUCUCACCUUA